rnacentral:rRNA from 1 species
GGGCGGCGGCGUCUCUACCAUGCAGUCGAAGAGGUCUUCGGACUUAGUGGCGGACGGGUGAGUAACGCGUGAGGAUCUGCCCUUAGGAGGGGGACAACUUUUGGAAACGGAAGCUAAUACCCCAUAUGUCGAGAGAUGAAACUUUUUGGCCUGAGGAUGAACUCGCGUCUGAUUAGCUAGUUGGUGGGGUAAUGGCUUACCAAGGCGACGAUCAGUAGCUGUUCUGAGAGGAAGAUCAGCCACACUGGGACUGAGACACGGCCCAGACUCCUACGGGAGGCAGCAGUGGGGAAUUUUCCGCAAUGGGCGCAAGCCUGACGGGGCAACGCCGCGUGAGGGAGGAAUGUCUGUGGAUUGUAAACCUCUUUUCUCUGGGAAGAAGAUCUGACGGUACCAGAGGAAUCAGCAUCGGCUAACUCCGUGCCAGCGGCCGCGGUAAGACGGAGGAUGCAAGCGUUAUCCGGAAUUAUUGGGCGUAAAGCGUCCGUAGGCGGUUAAUUAAGUCAGUUGUUAAAGACUGCAGCUCAACUGUGGGAGAGCAACUGAAACUGGUUGACUAGAGUAUGGUAGGGGUAGAGGGAAUUCCUAGUGUAGCGGUGAAAUGCGUAGAUAUUAGGAAGAACACCAGUGGCGAAGGCGCUCUACUGGGCCAAGACUGACGCUGAUGGACGAAAGCUAGGGGAGCGAAAGGGAUUAGAUACCCCUGUAGUCCUAGCUGUAAACGAUGGAUACUAGGUGUUGUGCGUAUCGACCCGUGCAGUACCGAAGCAAACGCGUUAUGUAUCCCGCCUGGGGAGUACGCACGCAAGUGUGAAACUCAAAGGAAAUUGACGGGGCCCGCACAAGCGGUG